rnacentral:lncRNA from 1 species
AACAGAGCAAACCAUGGAAAGUCGGUCAGCACACGCAUAGAAACGCCGGCUGUGCUGUUGACCCGCAGACCUUUACUAGACUCUGCUGCAAUGCCCCAGCACGGGCAUCGUGCGAAAGGCCUGAUGGAGGCCAUGCUUGCUCCCUGCUGACGCAAGCUCCCUGCUGAUGCAAGCACCCUGCUGAUGGCAGCACCGGGCCCCUCGCUCUGCGUUGCCCACAGGAGCUGCCGCCCUCCCGCGUGGGUGCCGCGCCCUCAGCCCCGUGAGAUGGUGGCCGUGAUGUCACAGUGGUGUCAGGGAGCGGCCAUUGUGACGCAUGAGGCGGGGAGCAGAGCAAAGGCUGCGGGGCUGGGGCCGUGCUCAGUGCGGCCUGGCGAGGCGUGGAGAGAGCAGCGACUCUCUUGUUUCUCGUCGUCGAUGCCAAUCAUGUCCAAAGGGACGGAGGAGGCCCCCAACUCUGGGGAGCCAGUGUGCGUGCUGUGCCGCCGGGCACAGGUCAACCCAGACAUCUGUGGGCAGACAUUUGCCAACGAUGGGCUCUGUGCCCACCAAUUCUGCUUGUUCUUUGCC